AUUGAACGCUGGCGGCAUGCCUAACACAUGCAAGUCGAACGGCAGCACGGCAGUAGCAAUACUGUGGGUGGCGAGUGGCGGACGGGUGAGGAAUACGUCGGAAUCUGCCCAGUCGUGGGGGAUAACUAGCCGAAAGGUUAGCUAAUACCGCAUACGACCGAGAGGUGAAAGCGGGGGACCGCAAGGCCUCGCGCGAUUGGAUGAGCCGACGUCGGAUUAGCUAGUUGGUGGGGUAAAGGCCCACCAAGGCGACGAUCCGUAGCUGGUCUGAGAGGAUGAUCAGCCACACUGGAACUGAGACACGGUCCAGACUCCUGCGGGAGGCAGCAGUGGGGAAUAUUGGACAAUGGGCGCAAGCCUGAUCCAGCAAUGCCGCGUGUGUGAAGAAGGCCUCGG
rnacentral:rRNA from 1 species